GUGUCAUUGUUUUAUAGAUACCAUAGUGAGAAAGGAUUCAUUUCGCAACACCUACGGCUUCCACUAGAUGUCAACGAUCUUUAUAAAGUUGUUUGAAGCGUCUAUGAUAAACAGAGAGCAAAUUAGAAUCCAAGGAAGUUGACAUGUCAUCACUUCAUUUUUUUGCACCUGCGCGUAAAUCUGAGAAGCGUGAGUUUGUCAUCAUUGUUUAUCUAGACAUAGGAUAGGUUGUGUGAAAAUAUUACUGAUGUUUAACGUUAAAAAUGGACCAAAAGAUUAAUGCUAAACAACAUUUGACAUGUUUGAACGAACGUAAAUAGAUUAUUUACUAGGUUUUUUUAGCUUUUCGGCGUGAUUUUACACUCCCCCCACCACGUUUUGUGGGAGCAUAAUGAACGCUAAGUACUUGGUGUUAUUUGGACAUAAAUUAUGAACUUUGUCAAAAGAAACCACAUUUGUUCUGGACCUGGGAUGCCUUCCGGACCUGGGAUGCCUGCCUUCUGAUGGAGAUAAUCAAAGGUAAAGGAAAUGGAAUGGACGGUAGACUGCAGCGAGUCCCUUGAGCUGAUGAGUGACACCAGCGCUUCCCCAGGGCUCCACAUAGUAAAGAUAAGUUUUGUUACAUGUGGUCUGCCACUGCGAGGACGAUCAGCUGUCCGUCCUGUCUUCCUGUAGCGCUGUCUUAGGCGUCUCAAAGUACGGACGUUGCAAUUUGUUGCCCUGGUGUAACAGAAGUUGUCAUGGAGAGAAGACCAAGGCGCAGCAGGUAUGUGAAUACUCAUAUUUAUUUCAAAAAGGAGUAAAGCAUCCACUUGACAAAACAAUAAAGGUGACAACAGCAACAGUUCUGCAGGCUAUUAAACGCAGUGCAAAAACAACCACCCACAACCCCAAAGAAAAACACACACACCUAUAUAGGACUUCCAAUCAAAGGCAACUCAACACACCUGCCUUCAAUUGGAAGUCCCAAUCAACAACACAAACAUUUAAAAAACACAAACCACCUGCCACAUCCUGACCAAGACUAACACAAUUCCGCCCUCUGCUGGUCAGGACGUGACACCUGACCACAUCUGCAGUCCUCAUGCCUCCUUGCAGCAUGCCUAAGGCACGUUCACGCAGAUGAGCA
rnacentral:lncRNA from 1 species